rnacentral:rRNA from 1 species
CGCACGGGUGCGUAACGCGUAUGCAACCUACCUCUAACUGGGGAAUAGCCCCGAGAAAUCGGGAUUAAUACCUCAUAACAUUUAUCAUUCGCAUGUUUGAUAAAUUAAAGUUUCGACGGUUAGAGAUGGGCAUGCGUGACAUUAGCUUGUUGGUGAGGUAACGGCUCACCAAGGCUGCGAUGUCUAGGGGUUCUGAGAGGAUUUUCCCCCACACUGGUACUGAGACACGGACCAG